rfam:Stegodyphus mimosarum contig93311, whole genome shotgun sequence.
GCUUUCGUGGUGUAGUGGUCAGCACGCUCGGCUUGUAUUCGAGAGAUCCGUGGUUCGAGUCCCGGUGAGAGCA